AACGAACGCUGGCGGCAGGCCUAACACAUGCAAGUCGAACGCUCCGCAAGGGAGUGCGCACGGGUGAGUAACACGUGGGAACCUACCUUCUGGUACGGAACAACCAAGGGAAACUUUGGCUAAGACCGUAUACGACCUCCGGGUGAAAGAUUGAUCGCCGGAAGAGGGGCCCGCGUCCGAUUAGGUAGUUGGUGAGGUAACGGCUCACCAAGCCUUCGAUCGGUAGCUGGUCUGAGAGGAUGACCAGCCACACUGGGACUGAGACACGGCCCAGACUCCUACGGGAGGCAGCAGUGGGGAAUAUUGGACAAUGGGCGCAAGCCUGAUCCAGCCAUGCCGCGUGAGUGAUGAAGGCCUUCGGUUGUAAG
rnacentral:rRNA from 1 species